rnacentral:rRNA from 1 species
UACGGAGGGGGCUAGCGUUGUUCGGAAUUACUGGGCGUAAAGCGCACGUAGGCGGCUUUGUACGUUAGAGGUGAAAGCCCGGGGCUCAACUCCGGAAUUGCCUUUAAGACUGCAUCGCUAGAAUUGUGGAGAGGUAAGUGGAAUUCCGAGUGUAGAGGUGAAAUUCGUAGAUAUUCGGAAGAACACCAGUGGCGAAGGCGACUUACUGGACAGAUAUUGACGCUGAGGUGCGAAAGCGUGGGGAGCAAACAGG